UGCCCACGGGUGUGUGCUCACAAUAGAAAAAAAAGGAGCAUGCAUUUCUUUUACGAUGGGUGUAGUAAUGGUGUUUCACCAGUAGGUGGCGCAUGGAGACUCUGAGCUGCCUGUUGCUGUGCCGUUUUUCUCAUAAGCUGAGAGAAAUUGGAGCAACACAGACUGCGUCUCCCAUGUGCUCAUUUUCAUACAUUUUUCAGGUGUGGGGAACCACAGACCUGCCCUCCAGGACCUGAAGCAGACAUGAGAGAGACCAAAGCCACAGACAUCCAGAGGGCCCCUGAGCAUGAAGCCCUGGGAGCAUCAUCACAGAGAUAACCGCAUCCCACCUUCCAGAGCGGAGCAGAGGAGAGCCCUGGAGGAACCCCCCAGCAGCCAAAAUGCAGAUGCCUCAGGGGCCACAGUGACAAGCCCCCAGGCUCCACUGGCAACCAACUAUGCUAGAGAAGAUCCGUCCAUGGGCACAGAGACCCACCACACCCCAGUAGACCGAGAACUCACAUACCCAUGCCCCAAACCUUGAACACUGAGACUCAUGAACACAAGGAGUGGCAACAGCCCCUGAAUGGGGGGCGGUGAACCCCAUAUGUAAAGGGGUGUUUAAUAUUUAAACACCCAAGAUGAUCCAGGAAAGGGGGCAGUGUAAGACCCAAACUAAUAGAUAAACAACCACACUCAAAUACAACAACACAUUCCCACCCUCAUGUGUACACAUUCCCACCCCACGCCCACUCACCCAAAGUAACCCCACACAAAUGUGGACCACUUUGAUUUUUCUUUAACACCAACCCUUGCCAGUGCACCCCCACAGCUCAGCCUCAUCUUCCCCCUCCCUCUCUACCUCCUUGUUGUCAUAUGACCGCUGUUAUGUGUGUGCAAUGGAACACAAAGUUUCUCUGUUAGUCCCCUCUGCUCUGUCCUCUCAUCACUCAGAUUUGAGAGCUGGAAGUAAGGCCGUCUCGCUCAGCAGCUAUGGGAAAACAGACAGGCCCCUGUGUGCAAGUACCAGCAAUGAUUAGAAAGGAGGGCAAAGAGACAGGGAGGGAUGAAUUGAGCCCAUGUUGUUUUUAUGUAACACCAAAAGAUAACCUAAUCCUUGUUUGUUCACACAGAUCCCACCCACUGCCAGUCCUAAGAUUUAGUUCAAUUCAAUAGGUGGCCAUCCAUGUGGAUCUUUAGCUGUUGUACUGCCUUGUAAAAGUGUUUAUGACUCUUGAACUUUUUAAGAGUUUGUCCAAUAAAAAUCUAAAUUUUGCUCUCCA